rnacentral:misc_RNA from 1 species
AAAAAAUGUCUAUCAUACAUAAGCAAGCGCUAAUAAGUGAUUUUGGAGAGAUCAAGCUUUCUGUAUAAAUAAUUCCUUGCUUUAGGAUAUUAUAUUUGUGCCAUAAUUUUAGUGGUCCUUUGGAUGUCCUAAACGGGAAGUUAAACCCUACUUGGUCUAUACAUCUGUAGUUGAGUAGCACUUCACCAUCUGCAAACAUAUAUAUCGGUCUAAGUAAAUGCAAA